GUUUAUUUGAGGCAGGGAGUAUGCUCAAAUAUGAAGCCCAUUUGCGGGUGUGCAUGGAUGUGUGAGUGUUGUGGGCUGCAGAAAGUUAUCAGGUGGGAUUUGCAGCAUGUUCUCUGCAGGAAGCAAAAGCUGCUCCAGUUCAAAGCCACAUGUACCAACGUGACAUAUAAGUCAUUAAAAUAUCAUCCUGAUGGUUCGCAUCUGCUUCAUCAUACAUUCUCCAACUGCACCCAAACAGGAGGGAGAGAAGAAAUGAAGAAUGACUGCCUCAGUGGAGCUACCACAGAGGUGUUCUGGUUUUGUUUGAUCCAACCACUGCCCACCCCAUUUACACCCCUCUUGGAUUUGUCUGCUGCUUCCCUCUAUUUGUCAGCCUCCUCCUCCUCCGGUCAGUUCUGCCAUGCUAGGCACAAAGGAGGGGAUCUCUGCUUCAACAGGUGGAAUAGGGAACCAAGUCAGAAAAUAAGCUGCAAGUUUCCCCUUGAGGAAAAGAAAAGAGCUUUACAGAAAUCUUCCAAAACACUCCAAUGUUUCCUCCCUUGA
rnacentral:lncRNA from 1 species